rnacentral:rRNA from 1 species
GAUGAACGCUGGCGGCGUGCCUAAUACAUGCAAGUCGAGCGAACAGAUAAGGAGCUUGCUCCUAUGACGUUAGCGGCGGACGGGUGAGUAACACGUGGGUAACCUACCUAUAAGACUGGGAUAACUUCGGGAAACCGGAGCUAAUACCGGAUAACAUUUGGAACCGCAUGGUUCUAAAGUGAAAGAUGGUUUUGCUAUCACUUAUAGAUGGACCCGCGCCGUAUUAGCUAGUUGGUAAGGUAACGGCUUACCAAGGCAACGAUACGUAGCCGACCUGAGAGGGUGAUCGGCCACACUGGAACUGAGACACGGUCCAGACUCCUACGGGAGGCAGCAGUAGGGAAUCUUCCGCAAUGGGCGAAAGCCUGACGGAGCAACGCCGCGUGAGUGAUGAAGGGUUUCGGCUCGUAAAACUCUGUUAUUAGGGAAGAACAAACGUGUAAGUAACUGUGCACGUCUUGACGGUACCUAAUCAGAAAGCCACGGCUAACUACGUG